GACGGAGGGGGCAAGCGUUGUUCGGAAUUAUUGGGCGUAAAGAGCUCGUAGGCGGUUCGGUAAGUCGGGUGUGAAACCUCCAGGCUCAACCUGGAGAUGCCACCUGAUACUGCUGUGACUCGAGUCCGGUAGGGGAGCGUGGAAUUCCUGGUGUAGCGGUGAAAUGCGCAGAUAUCAGGAGGAACACCGGUGGCGAAGGCGGGUCUCUGGGAAGUAACUGACGCUGAGAAGCGAAAGCGUGGGUAGCGAACAGG
rnacentral:rRNA from 1 species